GCCGACGUAGCUCAACGGCAGAGCAACCGCCUUGUAAGCGGUAGGCUAUGGGUUCAACUCCCAUCGUCGGCU
rnacentral:tRNA from 1 species